GAACCGAGAACUUGGGAGGAAAAAAAAAAGAGGGGUGGGGGGAGAAAGAGGAGGAGAAACUGGAUCCCUUCCCCAGCCCCCCACCCAGUGCUGCGGGGAAGGAGACUUUAUCACCUAAUCUGGUGCGUCCAUUGAGAGAGCCAUCUGCAAGCAGCAGCAGCUAAGAGCAGCACUUGAUCUACUUCUGAAUCUUGCCACUCACUCCAGGUCCUGCAGUGCAUGGCAGAUCAGUUACCUAAAGAGCAGCAAAGCUCGUCUGGGUGAUGUUACUGCACAGCAAAAGCUGCACCGCAGUUAUGGAUAAGUAAAUGAAAGGAGACACCCUACCUCAGCUAUUUAGUAAUUUGGGGGCGGGGGUAUUUCAAGAUAAAGUAACUAAAAAAAAUGAAAUAGAGAAAAGUCUUCAGCAAAGUGAGGAGUGCUGACCAAGGCAUCCACACCGCAGGAAAAGAGGGGAAAAGAAACCUUUGGAAGGAAAAGUCAGAGCAGAGAGGUUAAACCGCUUUGAGAAAGGAUCUCCGGACUUGUCUACGGGAGGGAUCUUUGCACAAUGAUAUAGCCAUGACAUCAGUGUAUCUGCUGCAGAGCCCCUACUUCGGAUCAACUCAUUAUCCUGAAUAAACGAUGUGUCAUUCCCAUUAUUUAUGUUUCACUGCAGCCAAAGUAUCUGGACCUCGUUUUGCCAGAUGGCUUGCUAGCUGUAUAUGGAGGCUGUGACCUGCCAAGGGAAAAUUUCUCAGCAUUUUCUCCAAAUGAUGAUGCCUGAAAGAAGACAGCGUUCCAACACUGGGCCAGUUUGCUGAUUUAAUACUGCUAUGAAAGAAGAGAACAACCUACUGAAUAACUAACAUCACAUCCAAGCGUUUUCUAGAGAAGUCACCAAUGGCACAUGAAUAGUCACACUGACUUCAGUGGAAUUACUCAUAUUUAAAGUUAGGCACAAACUGCAGAAUCGGACCCAAAGAUUACUGAACUCGAUGGCAAUCUUUCCACUGACUUCCGUGAGCUUUGGAUCAGGCCCUGUGUGCUUUGAUGAAUAGAGAUGGACUUAACCACAUAUUUAAAAUGUGUGUUGCUGAACUGGGAUCUAACUACAGACCAUGACUGAGACCGUUAACAUUUGAAUUUAACCAGAUUAUAACCCGGUUUAAUAUUGCUGUGUGUAAAGUAUGAAAGCUUACAGGUAAACAAAGUGUAAAAUAUAAAUUGAACUAGAACUGUAAGAACUAGGCACAAAUACAAUCACUGUCAAGCAACCUCGCUUACUGAUUUUUUUAAAAAGGUUGAAAGUCGAGAGAGAGCCUUGUUAGAAAGCCCUUGAAGAAAAUUCUUUGAAAAUGAAAAACAACUUUUUAAAUGGCUAUUUUUGAGGGAGGGGGUCAUUACUGUUUCCUCCUUGUCUUUUUUAUGCUAAAUUCUCAACUGGCAGGCAAACAUACGUCCCCAACUCCAAUGUUUCCAAAUUCACAAAACUGGAUAUAGCUCUUUAUAUUACUUUAGGGUUUCAGCAGAUACUGUAUUCAGAAUACUUUGAAAACUGCCUAGUGUCUUAGAGACAUGAUUUGUCUUCAUUGUGACUCCAGUAGGCAGAUAGCAGUGAGCUCACAUUCUUAGAGGACUUAGUUUGUGCAGGCACGUAACUUAAAUACUUGCUGGGCACUGUUCUCCAGCAGCUGUACAUUCUCGAUGAUGCUUCCUUUUCAUCCUUCUGUUCUGUAUUCCUUAGCAGGAGACUCAACAGCUGUAACAACACCUGGAGGAUACUUGGCAGCUGCAAGUCACAGAUGCUGAGCUCAGUAAUGUACUUUCCCUGUACAAGCAUCUGAGUGUUUUGCUGGCUGCUUGAAAGUUUUCACUGGUGUCUGAAUGGCUUGCUCCACAACUAGCUACAAUAUGCUGAUGGUUGUGUCGAAUCACCCCUGGAGUAUAGGGAUCAAUCUGUCUGAUGAGCAAGAUGACUUACCUCCUCCAAGAUGCUGCUAUCAUUUACCCCUAUUUAUUGGUAAGAGAUUUGCAUGCUUUAGCAGUGUACAGGGCCAAUCAGAGGGGGGACCAGGAGGGCCAUUUGGCCUGGGUCUCAAGCUCAAAGGGGGCCUCAAAUUUAGACACUUGUUAAUUUUUGGCAUUUGAUAAGUUUCACAACUUGUUUUUAUGCACAUGAAAACUAGAUUUUUCC